GAUGGGUGAUGACAUUUUUUGAAAUCUUCAACAUUUAUUGUGAAAAUUGACCAAAAUAAUAUUUUAGACACUCUUUUGGAUAUCAAGUAAGGAAAUAAAAAAUACAAAAAAGACUGAAGAAAUUAAAUCUUUAAAAUUCAAAAGUGAAAAUCACAACAACGUCAAUGCGUCAAAGCAAACGUAAGCAAAGUUAUUCAGAAUAAACUCUGUCGACACAA
rnacentral:ribozyme from 1 species